CGUAGGUGGCAAGCGUUGUCCGGAUUUAUUGGGCUUAAAGGGUGCGGUAGGCGGCCCUGUAAGUCAGUGGUGAAAUGCUCUAGCUUAACUAGAGACGGUGCCAAUGAUACUGCAGGGCUUGAGUACAGAUGAGGUAGGCGGAAUUGGACGGUGUAGCGGUGAAAUGCAUAGAUAUCGUCAAGAACACCUAUAGCGAAGGCAGCUUACUGGGCCUGUAACUGACGCUGAGGCACGAAAGUGUGGGGAUCAAACAGGAUUAGAUACCCUGGUAGUCCACACUGUAAACGUUGAUUACUCGCUGUUUGCGAUACACAGCAAGCGGCUUAGCGAAAGCGAUAAGUAAUCCACCUGGGGAGUACGCCGGCAACGGUG
rnacentral:rRNA from 1 species